rnacentral:rRNA from 1 species
UUAUGCUGCCAAGAAAAGCCUCUAGCGAGUGUUAAAGCCGCCCGUACCCCAAACCGACACAGGUGGUCAGGUAGAGAAUACUAAGGCGAUCGAGAUAACUAUGGUUAAGGAACUCGGCAAAAUGCCCCCGUAACUUCGGGAGAAGGGGGGCCCGUUCUGGUGAGGAGAUUUACUCUCCGAGCUGGGAUUGGCCGCAGAGACCAGGCCCAAGCGACUGUUUACUAAAAACACAGGUCCAUGCUAAGUCGCAAGACGCUGUAUAUGGACUGACGCCUGCCCGGUGCUGGAACGUUAAGGGGACGGGUUAGCGACUUCGGUCGCGAAGCUCAGAACUUAAGCGCCAGUAAACGGCGGUGGUAACUAUAACCAUCCUAAGGUAGCGAAAUUCCUUGUCGGGUAAGUUCCGACCUGCACGAAUGGCGUAACGACUUGGGCGCUGUCUCAACCGUAGACUCGGCGAAAUUGCACUACGAGUAAAGAUGCUCGUUACGCGCGGCAGGACGGAGAGACCCCGGGACCUUUACUACAGCUUGGUAUUGGUGGUCGAUUCGAUUUGUGUAGGAUAGGUGGGAGACUGUGAACUUCGGACGCCAGUUCGAAGGGAGUCAUCGUUGAAAUACCACUCUGAUCGUAUUGGCUGUCUAACCUAGAUCCGUAAUCCGGAUCAGGGACAGUGCCUGGUGGGUAGUUUAACUGGGGCGGUUGCCUCCUAAAAUGUAACGGAGGCGCUCAAAGGUUCCCUCAGCCUGGUUGGCAAUCAGGUAUCGAGUGUAAGUGCACAAGGGAGCUUGACUGUGAGACUGACGGGUCGAGCAGGGACGAAAGUCGGAACUAGUGAUCCGGCGCUGGCAAGUGGAAGCGGCGUCGCUCAACGGAUAAAAGGUACCCCGGGGAUAACAGGCUGAUCUUGCCCAAGAGUCCAUAUCGACGGCAUGGUUUGGCACCUCGAUGUCGGCUUGUCGCAUCCUGGGGCUGGAGUAGGUCCCAAGGGUUGGGCUGUUCGCCCAUUAAAGCGGCACGCGAGCUGGGUUUAGAACGUCGUGAGACAGUUCGGUCCCUAUCCGCCGCGCGCGUAAGAGUCUUGAGAAGAUCUGUCCCUAGUACGAGAGGACCGGGAUGGACGAACCUCUGGUGUGUCAGUUGUCCUGCCAAGGGCGCUGCUGAUUAGCUACGUUCGGAAGAGAUAACCGCUGAAAGCAUCUAUGCGGAAAACUCGCUUCAAGAUGAGGGCUCUCACAGGGUUAACCUGGUAAGGCCCCCAGUAGACCACUGGGUUGAUAGGCCGGAAGUGGAAGUGCGGUAACGCAUGCAGCUGACCGGUACUAAUAGGCCGAGGACUUGACC